rnacentral:SRP_RNA from 1 species
GCCAGGUGUGGUGGUGGGCACCUGUAAUCCCAGCUACUUGGGAGGCUGAGGCAGGAGAAUCUCUUGAAUUCAGGAGGCAGAGGUUGCAGUAAGCUGAGAUCAUGCCAUUGCACUCCAGCCUGGACAACAAAAGUGAGACUACGUCUUAAAAAAAAAAUGGAGUCUCUGUGGACCAGGCUGGAGUGCAGUGGUGCAAUCUCGGUUCACUGCAACCUCUGCCUCCUGGGUUCAAGCGAUUCUCCUGCCUCAG